AGCGAACGCUGGCGGCAGGCUUAGCACAUGCAAGUCGAACGCAUCCUUCGGGGUGAGUGGCAGACGGGUGAGUAACACGUGGGAACGUACCUUUUUGUUCGGAAUAACUCAGGGAAACUUGAGCUAAUACCGGAUACGCCCUUAGGGGGAAAGAUUUAUCGCAGAAAGAUCGGCCCGCGUCUGAGUAGCUAGUUGGUGAGGUAAAGGCUCACCAAGGGGACGAUCAGUAGCUGGUCUGAGAGGAUGAUCAGCCACACUGGGACUGAGACACGGCCCAGACUCCUACGGGAGGCAGCAGUGGGGAAUAUUGGACAAUGGGCGCAAGCCUGAUCCAGCCAUGCCGCGUGAGUGAUGAAGGCCCUAGGGUUGUAAAGCUCUUUCGGCGGGGACGAUAAUGACGGUACCCGCAGAAGAAGCCCCGGCUAACUUCGUGCCAGCCGCCGCCGUAA
rnacentral:rRNA from 1 species